rnacentral:rRNA from 1 species
GAUGAACGCUGGCGGCGUGCCUAAUACAUGCAAGUCGAGCGAACAGACGAGGAGCUUGCUCCUCUGACGUUAGCGGCGGACGGGUGAGUAACACGUGGAUAACCUACCUAUAAGACUGGGAUAACUUCGGGAAACCGGAGCUAAUACCGGAUAAUAUAUUGAACCGCAUGGUUCAAUAGUGAAAGACGGUUUUGCUGUCACUUAUAGAUGGAUCCGCGCCGCAUUAGCUAGUUGGUAAGGUAACGGCUUACCAAGGCAACGAUGCGAAGCCGACCUGAGAGGGUGAUCGGCCACACUGGAACUGAGACACGGGCCAGACUCCUACGGGAGGCAGCAGUAGGGAAUCUUCCGCAAUGGGCGAAAGCUUGACGGAGCAACGCCGCGUGAGUGAUGAAGGUCUUCGGAUCGUAAAACUCUGUUAUUAGGGAAGAACAAAUGUGUAAGUAACUAUGCACGUCUUGACGGUACCUAAUCAGAAAGCCACGGCUAACUACGUG